AUGGGAUAUUCAAAUGUCACAGAACUCGUCGGUGAUGUUAUCGAGCAUUCAGGGAAACCAAAUGUCAUAGUUUCUACAAAUGUGCAUGAGAUAUUGGAAUGCCCUGUGUGUUUGGUUCCCAUGUAUCCUCCAAUUCAUCGGUGCUCCAAUGGUCAAACCAUUUGUUCUGAAUGCAAGCCAAGGGUUCAUAAUGGCCGCCCAACUUGCAGGAGUGAAUUGGGUAACAUAAGAUGCCCUGCUUUGGAGAAGGUUGGCGCCUCUCUAGAGUUUAUGUCCAAGUUCCAGAACUUUGGAUGCUUGCGAAUGUAUCCUUAUUAUUGCAAGUUAAAACAUGAAUCAGAGUGCCAAUACAGACCCUAUACUGGCCCAUAUGCAGGUUUUGUUGAUUUAUGUGAUGGAAUCUUGAUAUGUAGCAUGACUUCCGUCCUGGACAGUUGCCGGGAAUGCAUCGAGAAAAUGCAACAUGAAUUGAUGUUUGAAGUUACAGCCUUACAGGAGCAUCAACACAAAUUUGCAACGACGAAGUUUAUACCAUGCUUGUGUAGUCAGUCUGAAGCAUUUGCCUUUGGAAUUAAAGAAGAUCAGAGUAUGACACUGACCUGA
rnacentral:rRNA from 1 species